GCCGCACACCCGUCAGUCACGUCGAUCUCCGCCGACACACCCUCCACGGUUUAGACGUUCAGGUUUUUUUCCCUUCUUCCUCCUUCCUUUCUUUGUUCUUGUUAGUUUUCCAUUGAAGUUAGGGUGCACAGAAAGGGUUUGAGAAUCGCGUUUGAUGAUCGAUAAUUUGGAAGGUUUUGAGAAACACGAUUAUGGAUCUGAGGAAUCAUGUUUGGUGGUCAAAGGGAUGAGAGUUGGGUUUGAGGAAUGGGUUUGAGAAUCACAGAAUCGCUUGAUGUUUAUUCAUUAUUUUUUUUCUUUUAUGUGUUAGGUAGAUGUGGUUUUUGUGUGUUAUUCUUGCGAUUUUAGUGAUUCAAAGAGUAAAGAAUUUAGGGGAUUUGAUACUGAUUUAUGGAAGAUUUUAGGGACUGGCUUAUGCAGGAUUUUUGGGAUUUGAGAAUUUUGAUUAAAAAUUAGAAAUUAGGGUUGGCAGUUAUAUGGUUUUGAAUCUGAUUUUAAUGAAUAAGUUCCAAAGUGACAGUUUUUAUAUUUACUUGGUAGUAGGGAUCUUAGAAAUUAUUGAAUCUGAAAUUGGGAAGUUGAUACAUUAAUGUUUUGCAUGAUCUAAAUUCUGGGUUUCUUCGUGGUUGAGGUUUUCUUUGUAAAACAAAAAUGAUAUUAAAGAAAUGGUUUUGCAUGAUACUAAAGAAAUGGUUGUGAUUGAGGUUAUUUUUGUAAAACAAAAACGAUAUUGGUAUUAUCUUUCUAGAAUAGUCAUCACUUAGUUAAAUUGUUUUUAUUAAGGUAAUAGAGUCUUUGUUGUUAUGUGUGUGAUAAUGAUAACAUACAUAGAUAGAUUACAGAGAAAGAGUUUUUGCCAUUGUGCUAUGUUAUGUUGUUAUGAUAUGGUUUGGACUUGUAAUAACAUAAAUAGUCAUUGUUGUUAUGCUAAGGCACAUAUUUGAAUUGAAUUCAAACUUUGGAAUGUAUUUUGGAUUGGUCUGUUCACAUUGCAAUUUCUUCAUUGGUUGCAGGGGCUUUCACUUUGUUGGUCAAGUUAAGAUGCUUUAUGCUCUUGUUAUCUGUUUGGCAAUGCGGAACUUCUUUGUUUUUGCUGAAGGGUACCUAUAAUCAUACAUUUAUACUUUGGAUGAUAUAAGUUGCUAAUAGCUCUACUUUGAAUUUUCAGACGCCUUUUUAUGUUGCUUAAUGCUCGGGCUGAAUUCCUCUUCAAUUCUUUUAUGAUUGAUAUUACUUAGCCUCAUUAUAUAGUCGAUACCGGCAUACAUUAAGCUAUUAGUUCUCAUCAGAUGUUUUGCUAUUGUUUUGGCAGGGGAAAUGACGUAUUGAGGCACACCACUUAUCAAGUAAUAUUGUUCCUAACAACUUCAGAAUUUGGAGAAAAAAUGAGGCAGAUUCUUGUAACAAUGUCUAGUGGAAGUUUCUUGUCACCAGGAGACCGAAAAAUUCUAGCAAUAUCCAACUCACCUUGGAACUCACAAAGUGCCUUAGUGGUAAAAUUUCAAUGUUGAAUCUUUCCAGGUAUGCAGUUUGAAACAAAUGAACAUUCAAUGCUUCUAUUCUUGUGUUGUUUGUUUGCUAUAUUAAAUUAUAGUUCUUUUCACUUUUUUGGUUUGGUUUCUUUGUUAGGAAGUGUUUCAUCAUUUGGUUAAUGGUUUUUCUUGGAUUUAGGAAUGCAAUUUUAAUAAUUGUAGCCAUUGUAAUAAUUGUGUGUAUAUACGGAAUAUGCAUCCUGCAUCACUUCAUCAGGUUAUGGUAAACAUUGUCAAUAUUUGUCUAUAAUUUCUUGCAUUUUGAACCAGGUUUUCAUUCGGGUGGCAGGGGUAGUGCAAACUUAAUCAUGUUAUGUUAAUCGUAGUCCUUGUAGAAUGAGGUGAAGACGACUAGUAACUAAAUGUUUUUGCGACCAGCAUGUGAUUAUGUUUUUGAGAAUUUUCAAUAUUGUGUAGUGGGGCGCGAUGCCUUUUGUUAGUGAGGAGGCAGUAAGUUUUGUUGGCUUGUGGUGGAUUUAGUUUCUAUUGUUUUGCUCAUUUUAGCGCUCUUUGUGAAAAUAGAAGCCAAAACAAAAAAAAAUUGAAUUCCACACAAAAAAUACUUCAAUACACUUAAACAAAAAGCAAGCAAAACAAAAAUAUGAGAAACUUGACUAAAACAUCGAGUUUCCCUUUCUUAGAGCAGAAUCUGAUUUAGUGUGCCUUCCUUUUGUUGUUAGUCUGAAAUACUGAGUUUCCCCAAGUUUCUUAAUAGUAUUUUUUUGUUGUCUCUUGUUUAAGGGGUUUGGUCAUUAAUGCAAUUCUUUACUUUACUCACACAGAUAAUGAUUGGAUUAAGCUAAAGAUAGAAGCAUUUCUCAGCCAAUUUCUUAAGUCUGCUGCCAAUUUUUAACUCUGCUGCUGAUUUUGUAACUCUGCUGCCGUUUUCGUAAGUCAUUUCCUCCUUUUGUCUCUUUUCUUUGUUUUCUGUUGCUUUUCAAGUAAUAAAUGCAUUAAGGAUUUACUAUCAUGGUGUAGGUACUGAACGCAUUGUAGAAAUUUGGUAUGGUUUUGGUUGUUUUAUAUGCUAAAUGAAGAUAAUGUAUGAAUGCACUGCUAUUGUAUUGUUGUCUAGUUUUUAGGCUUGGUAUUGCUUCUCCCUAUUAUGAGACACUACUUGUGCUUACAAAACAUAUUUGCUCUUUGAAAUUCCCUGGGGUUGACCAUGAUUUGGUUUGAAAUUAAGAUAUUUAUAACAUUGUAAUUUAUCGAGUUCUAUUUUUGUGAGUUAGAGAUUUUAUCCUUUGUUUGCAUAAGAUAUUACUAUGGUAUUCUUGUUAUCAGUUCAUUUAUUUGAUGUGUCUAGAAAAGAGAAGCCAUUAUGUUAUGUUUGAAGCUAGGAACCAUUAUCUUGUGGAAUUAUGUCAUGGACUAAGUCAAUUUGUUCAAUUCCGUUCGUUUUUUUAUGUAUCCUAAUAUAUAUACUUAUGUUUUUUCAGGUAAUUGAAUAAGAAGAAUCAAGAGAUGAUUAAGGAUCAUGAAGCAACAUAACAUACUAGGGAU
rnacentral:lncRNA from 1 species